rnacentral:rRNA from 1 species
UACGGAGGGUGCGAGCGUUGUCCGGAAUCACUGGGCGUAAAGGGCGCGUAGGCGGCUUGACAAGUCACUUGUGAAAUCUCCGGGCUUAACUCGGAACGGCCAAGUGAAACUGUCAUGCUAGAGUGCAGAAGGGGCAAUCGGAAUUCUUGGUGUAGCGGUGAAAUGCGUAGAUAUCAAGAGGAACACCUGAGGUGAAGACGGGUUGCUGGGCUGACACUGACGCUGAGGCGCGAAAGCCAGGGGAGCAAACGGG